UUGGAGGGUCCCGUGGGAGUGAAACUGUCCUCGCUGCGACACAGCAAGAAGCUUGAAGGUCGAUUUCAGGUUUUGGACUUUACGAUGGUGUGGAAGCAUUAAGCUCUCAGCAGAAGCCACACUCUGAAUUCCAAUCUUUUCCUGGGCUGGUGAUGGAUGCGCAGCACGGUGCCCUCCUGCAGUACUGAGCCGUGGCAGGGAGCAGCAGUCCCAGCCAGCUGUGCCACCGCGAGGGGAAGUGGCCGGCAUGGAUCUUUUCUCCCCUAUAUCUGAGGUCUGAGUCCUUUGUCAGGACACACAGUGUGAUUUCUUGCCUGGCACUCCAUUCCUUGCUUGUCCAUUUUCAAGAGCAGAACAUUUUCACGUUGACGGAAGCCCGAUGUCUUUCUUCUAUGGUAUGUGCUCUGCAUCCAAAGCAGCCUUCGC